UUCCGUUUAUUUCCUCACAUACCAGCCAAGCUUCUCAGUCAGGCAGACACAAUAGAUGGAAUGGCAAGGGAAGUGAAGAGUGGAGGCUGCAUCCCUUCAGCCGCCAGCUGAUGUUCUGCUUAUUUCGCAUACCGGAACUCCCAGGCGUCCUCAAACCACAAUCACAGUUGUUGGUUCCAGAAACAUCUUCUUUGGAAAAACAUGUGACAUCAGUUUCCUCAGAGUCUUCCGGACAAUCCAGUCACACAGAACUGACAAAACCUUGUCAGGUGAGAAGAUAAGGAUCUUCUUCAAUACAGAAUAUGUCAACAUCUCCUUCUGAAUAGUUCCGUUUAUUUGCUCACAUACCAGCCAAGCUUCUCAGUCAGCAGGCACAAUAGACUGAAUAGGAAGGGAAGUGAAGAGUGAAGUCUGGAUCCGUUUAGCCUCCAGCUGAUGUUCUGCUUAUUUCCUGUACUGGAACUCUCAGAAGUCCUCAAACCACAAUCACAGUUGUUGGUUCCAGAAACAUCUUCUUUGGAAAAACAUGUGACAUCAGUUUCCUCAGAGUCUCCCGGACAAUCCAGUCACGCAGAACUGACAAAACCUUGUCCAGUAAGAAGGUAAGAAUCUUCUUCAAUAGAGAAUACGUCAACGUCUCCGUGAACGAAGAGAUCUGCUGGUUCCAAGGACUUGUCGUGGAUUUCUGUCCUAGAUACUUUCUUCCGUAAUUCAAGAUAAAGAAAAUUACAAUCUCUGCUGUCCAUUCCAUCGCUUUUCCCUUCAGAAUCAUAAUCAGAGAAUCCUUGCAGAACGUCGUGAGUGUGCUCUCAGCUGCAAUCACCAGAAGGACUCUUCACACUCGGUGGCUCACCAGGAGAAAGGCAUAGCAGAACCUGGACUGAGACCUACGGGAGACAGGCAGACACACAGGAGGUUGGACGUCGAGAGGAGCACAUCAGUGCAAGAACACAUGGGUGGCUGCCACUUCUCUCCCUUUCCUGAGAGGGAAAAACUCUCGACGCUGAGAGGAAUCCACCAACAGGCACCAGCACUCUGGCAGGCCACCGACCAAUGGAUUGACAUAGAGUUUGGCUGGGGCAGCCAGAGGAGAGCCUGGGCCGCUGAAUAACCCGACUUCAGGGGAAAACUAUUCUCCCUUUUGGCUCCCCCAUCUGCUGAGAGCUACUUCCACUCAAUAAAACCUUGC
rnacentral:lncRNA from 1 species